rnacentral:ncRNA from 1 species
CGGGGACACGCAGGCUCCCCGCCAGGCGGUCAAAUGCCGUCCAAGUUCUGC